rnacentral:rRNA from 1 species
GUGGGGAAUAUUGGACAAUGGGCGCAAGCCUGAUCCAGCCAUGCCGCGUGAGUGAUGAAGGCCCUAGGGUUGUAAAGCUCUUUCACCGGUGAAGAUAAUGACGGUAACCGGAGAAGAAGCCCCGGCUAACUUCGUGCCAGCAGCCGCGGUAAUACGAAGGGGGCUAGCGUUGUUCGGAAUUACUGGGCGUAAAGCGCACGUAGGCGGACAUUUAAGUCAGGGGUGAAAUCCCGGGGCUCAACCCCGGAACUGCCUUUGAUACUGGGUGUCUGGAGUAUGGAAGAGGUAAGUGGAAUUCCGAGUGUAGAGGUGAAAUUCGUAGAUAUUCGGAGGAACACCAGUGGCGAAGGCGGCUUACUGGUCCAUUACUGACGCUGAGGUGCGAAAGCGUGGGGAGCAAACAGGAUUAGAAACCCUAGUAGUCC